rnacentral:lncRNA from 1 species
GAGAUCAAUGCAAGGGAAGAUCAUUGCGAUUUCAAUCUAGGACCCUGUACUGGGUUCAACUUAAAAUUCAUAAGCAAAAUCUCUGACUCUCCACUGGUGUACACCAAGGUCUUCUACCAAAUCUCCUGAACCCCUCUUGCACAAGUUCUUCGAUCAAUGUAGAGAGAGGAAAGAGCGAGGUAGAGAAGAGAAAGAGGGAAAAGAGAGAUAGGAG